GGCUCGAGGACGAACGCUGGCGGCGUGCUUAACACAUGCAAGUCGAGCGAUGGAAGCUUCUUCGGAAGUGGAUUAGCGGCGGACGGGUGAGUAACACGUGGGUAACCUGCCUCGUAGAGGGGAAUAGCCUUCCGAAAGGAAGAUUAAUACCGCAUAAGAUUGUAAUAUCGCAUGAUAUAGCAAUUAAAGGAGUAAUCCGCUAUGAGAUGGACCCGCGUCGCAUUAGCUAGUUGGUGAGGUAACGGGCUCACCAAGGCGACGAUGCGUAGCCGACCUGAGAGGGUGAUCGGCCACAUUGGGACUGAGACACGGCCCAGACUCCUACGGGAGGCAGCAGUGGGGAAUAUUGCACAAUGGGGGAAACCCUGAUGCAAGCAACGCCGCGUGAGUGAUGACGGUCUUCGGAUUGUAAAGCUCUGUCUUUAGGGACGAUAAUGACGGUACCUAAGGAGGAAGCCACGGCUAACUACGUGCCAGCAGCUGC
rnacentral:rRNA from 1 species